AGAGGGUGCAAGCGUUAAUCGGAAUUACUGGGCGUAAAGGGUGCGUAGGUGGUUUGUUAAGUCAGGCGUGAAAUCCUCGGGCUCAACCUGGGAACUGCGCUUGAUACUGGCAGACUCGAGUGUGGUAGAGGAUAGUGGAAUUCCCGGUGUAGCGGUGAAAUGCGUGGAUAUCGGGAGGAACAUCAGUGGCGAAGGCGGCUAUCUGGACUAACACUGACACUGAGGCACGAAAGCGUGGGUAGCAAACAGGAUUAGAUACCCUGGUAGUCCACGCCCUAAACGAUGGGUACUAGACGUCGGGAAGCUUGUCUUCUUGGUGUCGCAGCUAACGCAAUAAGUACCCCGCCUGGGGAGUACGGUCGCAAGAUUA
rnacentral:rRNA from 1 species